UCGAGCGGACAGAUGGGAGCUUGCUCCCUGAUGUUAGCGGCGGACGGGUGAGUAACACGUGGGUAACCUGCCUGUAAGACUGGGAUAACUCCGGGAAACCGGGGCUAAUACCGGAUGCUUGUUUGAACCGCAUGGUUCAAACAUAAAAGGUGGCUUCGGCUACCACUUACAGAUGGACCCGCGGCGCAUUAGCUAGUUGGUGAGGUAAUGGCUCACCAAGGCAACGAUGCGUAGCCGACCUGAGAGGGUGAUCGGCCACACUGGGACUGAGACACGGCCCAGACUCCUACGGGAGGCAGCAGUAGGGAAUCUUCCGCAAUGGACGAAAGUCUGACGGAGCAACGCCGCGUGAGUGAUGAAGGUUUUCGGAUCGUAAAGCUCUGUUGUUAGGGAAGAACAAGUACCGUUCGAAUAGGGCGGUACCUUGACGGUACCUAACCAGAAAGCCACGGCUAACUACGUGCCAGCAGCCGCGGUAAUACGUAGGUGGCAAGCGUUGUCCGGAAUUAUUGGGCGUAAAGGGCUCGCAGGCGGUUCCUUAAGUCUGAUGUGAAAGCCCCCGGCUCAACCGGGGAGGGUCAUUGGAAACUGGGGAACUUGAGUGCAGAAGAGGAGAGUGGAAUUCCACGUGUAGCGGUGAAAUGCGUAGAGAUGUGGAGGAACACCAGUGGCGAAGGCGACUCUCUGGUCUGUAACUGACGCUGA
rnacentral:rRNA from 1 species